UACAGAGGGGGCAAGCGUUGUUCGGAAUUACUGGGCGUAAAGGGCGCGUAGGCGGCCUGUUAAGUCGAACGUGAAAUCCCCGGGCUCAACCCGGGAACUGCGUCCGAUACUGGCAGGCUUGAAUUCGGGAGAGGGAUGUGGAAUUCCAGGUGUAGCGGUGAAAUGCGUAGAUAUCUGGGGGAACACCGGUGGCGAAGGCGGCAUCCUGGACCGAUAUUGACGCUGAUGCGCGAAAGCCAGGGGAGCAAACGGG
rnacentral:rRNA from 1 species